UUGAUGUUAGUGACUCCAAUUGACCCAGAAAACAGUCGAAUCUGAGCACGUUGGAUUCACGUGAAACACGUAAUAUAUCCCAUCCGGAGCAGCACCGAUCCACAACCUCCUGCCUAUGGAAUCAAAACAUUAGACAAAUUGGUGUACUGUGCGCAUUCACAAAUCUUUGCAAAUCAAGUGUGCCUUUUGACUAAGAAAAAUUUAGCAUUGAGAUGGUCAAUCUCAAUAUAAACCUGAUAAAGUUAGAAGUGGAGAGAAAGAUCUCCACAUGGGCCGAUGCUUCGCCCAUCUGGCUCAGAGGUGUUUUCCCAAUUGAGAAAGCCGUCAGAGCAUGUGUCUCCUCAUGGACAUUUUUGUUCUCUCCGUCAAUGGUCGAGGAUCGGAGACAUAUUUCACGACAGGCGCAUCUACGACUGAACUAGACCGCAACCGACGACUGUGAGCAGCAAUGAGGCAAUUUCUGAACCUGCAAAACGAAGUUAAAUUCGUGCCGUGCGGUGUGCUCAAGUCUUUAAAGACCACUGAACUACAGCUUGAGAAGGGAGUCAGCGAUACGCGCAAAAGACCAACUUUCAUUAAUUAACCAGCUUUCACCAUGACAACAAGAGGACAAAUUAACGAAAAGAUUUUAUGAUAAUGAAUCCUGUAAUAAAUCUAAUACAAGAUUAGAAGCCUCACAAAAUAUUUAAUGUAUUACAAGUUUUAUAGCAAGUCAUAUUGUGCCAGAAGCUAAAUAAUCAGUAGGCCUACAGUGAUGAGGUGUUCUAUCAGGACUAGGACAAAAGAAGUCAGAAGUCGGUCAUAUUUUUAUAUGCAUAGCUUCGGAUAAUUCAUCACUCGGCCAUUUAUGAACUAUUGUUUGCCCAUAAGUCCCGUAUUCAGCGAUAUAUGGUAUUAUUCAUUGCCCGUGUGGAUAUGCAAAAUACAGUUCGACUACUGUAGGCCAAAAAUAGGAAACGAAAUCAGUUUCCGGAUAUUUGCAGUUUCCUGUGUAAUAUAUUUGGUAGGAGAUACUAGAAAAUAUAUGGCGAGACCAUGCGCACAUUUUUAUACCUACCAAUUAAUUAACAAAAUUAUCACAAUGUUUCAUUUUAGUAUUCUAAAUUCAAGGUUGGCAUACACAGGUAAAAAAAUAUUUACUUCAUUUUUCGUAUUGCGUUAGAUUUGGACUCAUUGGAUAAGAAGUGUAUUUGUGAAUUAUUUAGAAUUUAAUGUGAACUAUUCCGCUUAAAUUUUUGUUGCGGUUGUUGCUGUUGAAUUUGUGCAUGUUGUUUUUGUAAAAAAUCGCUUUUCUCGCAACUAAUGGCCCGAUAUAUUUUGAAUUUUCGGGAUAUAAAGAAGCUAGGAGGCCACUUUUCAACCAUUCAAUACCCAACAUCAACUGGUAAACAACUGCUAAUUAUUUAGAAUUUAAUGUGAAUUAUUCCGCUUAAAUUUUUGUUGCGGUUGUUGCUGUUGAAUUUGUUCAUGUUGUUUUUGUGAAAAUUCGCUUUUCUCGCAACUAAUGGCCCGAUAAAUUUUGAAUUUUCAGGAUAUAAAGAAGCUAGGAGGCCACUUAUAUUAUUUAUAUUUUUAAUUUAUUUUUAGAAAACCAAUGUCUAUGGAACUGUAAUUUUACUGUUUAUGUUAGUUCCUGGGAAUAAUUUUAAAUGACCUUGAUGUCGCAUUGAAUUAAACAUGUAUAGCAGGGGUGGCCAACCUGCUUUCGACCGCAAUCGACUGAAAUCUUCUGAAUAGCUCGCGAUCGACUGAUCGGUAAACUGGUCAUACACAAAAACGAAUGAUUACUGAGCAUGCAAAUGACUACACAUACGCAUAGAAAAUUACACCGCUGCCAAUAAGCUCGGCUCUGUGGGCGCAUUCUUAAUAAAAUCGCCACACAAAUGUGUAUGUUUUCAUGUUCCAUUUGAUUUGUUAUUAAUAUGAUUAGGUAAUUAUACCGGGAUUGAACGAUUCAUCAUCUAUUUAAGAUGUAUUCAAAUAAUACAAUUCAGAUCCACAGUCUGUCUAAUUUUUGGUCGUAAAUCUUAAAAACUUGUAUAUAUAUAUUUGUAUUUAUGUAUUAUCUAAACAGCAAAAAAUAUAUAUUUUCAAACCAUAAAUGUUACAUGACUGACCAAACUUCAGUAUCUAAUUUACAAUUUCUUCCGAGUCCAAUUCUUCGCUCGCUCGGAAUUAGAAAAAAAUUGGCAUUCUGAUGUCACUGCUGCCGUUGCAAAUAGAAAUUAAUUUUAAAGCUACUCUUGGAGUAAGACAAUAACUUUUACAUACUGCAAAAGUUAUUGUAGGAUUGUUUGUCAGUCAAGACACACAACAUCUGAAAGUUUUUAAUAGUAAACUUCGAAUAUUUUUAUGGAGAGACUUCAUAGAUGAAUCGAAGCACCAGCAUAACAAAUAAUUUUAAUAAUACCCAUAUUUAGAAAACCCACUAGGUAGACUCAAACAUACAGUAUUUUUCCCAGGCUACUAAUCUAAAUUGGGCUAAACAGUCAAAUUACCAUUCAGAUGCACAUGGAUAGUAAAGCGGUAGGUAAGUGGAAAGCCCGAUUAUGCGCCAUGAAAUUCAUACUUAAGACGCCAUUGUCAUCAAUAACACCGUGUUUUUGACAUCUAGUCGCGGGAGCCGACAAAAAUGAAUAACUUAACUUCAGUUUAAGCAUUUAGGCAGUUGGUAACUUCAAAAUUCAGUUAAUUUAAUGCCUCACAAUUUUUUGGUCCAUUUUUUCCCCUACAAGAAGUGCAAAGUUCUUUCGUAUCAAAUGAAUAUUAAUAAUUAUGAAUGAGGUAAAGUUUUUGAAGAAUUUUCAUCUGUUUUAAUUGUUUAACAGUCGAUUUUAACAUGAAUUGUUUGAUUCUAAUUAUUCAUGCAAUACUAUUGGGUCCAUUGUAAAUUAACUCACCGUUAAUGCAAGAUAUUGAAACGUUGGCAACGUCGACAUGAUGGGACAAAUCAAUGGAGCAGUUUGGACAAAAUAUGCCACCAAGAUAAUUACACAUCCGAGUUCGAUUUUCUCGUGAUACAGUAGCGUUUGGCAAAUCUGAAACACAACAAUGUGAAAUAUAUUCCAGGUUAACAAAUAAAUUGAUUUCAGCAAUGACAGUAAUUUUAGAAUAAUAAACUUCAUGUCCCGUAUAAGUUGUAUUUUUCAUAUUUUUGAAUGUUUAUUGUUCAGUCAACAGGCAAAAUGCAAGCAGAUAAAGCCCAACUCAGGUACACAAAUGAAAAUUAUUAUGAAGCAGUAAAUAGUACUAAAGAACUCGUGAUAUUACCUCAUGGGCUUAAGAACGACUUAAUUAACUACUUUCUAAAUUACUUCAGACUUAAUAUUAAGAUUAUUAACUAUAUAUUCGAUUCAUAUCAUAUCAAUCAACCUGUCAUAUCAAUGUUCGCGUUGCAUAAACGAUCAGUUGCAUUAGUUAAAUUGUA